rnacentral:rRNA from 1 species
CAGCCGCCGCGGUAAUACGAAGGGGGCUAGCGUUGUUCGGAUUUACCGGGCGUAAAGGGCGCAUAGGCGGACUGAUAAGUCAGGGGUGAAAUCCCAAGGCUCAACCUUGGAACUGCCUUUGAUACUGUUUGUCUUGAGUUCGAGAGAGGUAAGUGGAACUGCGAGUGUAGAGGUGAAAUUCGUAGAUAUUCGCAAGAACACCAGUGGCGAAGGCGGCUUACUGGCUCGAAACUGACGCUGAGGCGCGAAAGCGUGGGGAGCAAACAGGAUUAGAUACCCGUGUAGUCCCUGUCUCUUAUAC